rnacentral:rRNA from 1 species
UACGUAGGUGGCAAGCGUUGUCCGGAUUUACUGGGCGUAAAGAGCGCGCAGGCGGUCGUUCAAGUCGCGUGUGAAAGCCCCCGGCUCAACUGGGGAGGGUCACGCGAUACUGAUCGACUCGAAGGCAGGAGAGGGAAGUGGAAUUCCCGGUGUAGUGGUGAAAUGCGUAGAUAGUCGGGAGGAACACCAGUGGCGAAGGCGACUUCCUGGCCUGUUCUUGACGCUGAGGCGCGAAGGCGUGGGGAGCGAACGGG